rnacentral:rRNA from 1 species
GUGGGGUAGUGGCCUACCAAGGCGACGACGGGUAGCCGGCCUGAGAGGGUGACCGGCCACACUGGGACUGAGGCACGGCCCAGACUCCUACGGGAGGCAGCAGUGGGGAAUAUUGCGCAAUGGGCGAAAGCCUGACGCAGCGACGCCGCGUGGGGGAUGACGGCCUUCGGGUUGUAAACCUCUUUCAGCAGGGACGAAGCGAAAGUGACGGUACCUGCAGAAGCAGCACCGGCCAACUACGUGCCAGCAGCCGCGGUAAUACGUAGGGUGCAAGCGUUGUCCGGAAUUAUUGGGCGUAAAGAGCUCGUAGGCGGUUUGUUGCGUCGGCUGUGAAAACCUGAGGCUCAACCUCAGGCCUGCAGUCGAUACGAGCAGACUAGAGUGUUGCAGGGGAGACUGGAAUUCCUGGUGUAGCGGUGAAAUGCGCAGAUACCAGGAGGAACACCGAUGGCGAAGGCAGGUCUCUGGGCAUUAACUGACGCUGAGGAGCGAAAGCAUGGGGAGCGAACAGGAUUAGAUACCCUGGUAGUCCAUGCCGUAAACGUUGGGCACUAGGUGUGGGGGACAUUCCACGUUUUCCGCGCCGUAGCUAACGCAUUAAGUG